rnacentral:tRNA from 1 species
CCUCCUUUCUAAGAGAAAUUUUAAAGUUUAACUUUAAAAUUCGAAAUAAAGUCACCACCUACACAUCCCUUUAAACUUAAAAGUUAAUUCCACCGGGCUAGUAGCUCAGUUGGUUAGAGCACACGCUUGAUAAGCGUGGGGUCGGAGGUUCAAAUCCUCCCUGGCCCACCAUUUUGUUAACCAAUGGGGGCAUAGCUCAGUUGGGAGAGCGGUUGCUUUGCAAGCAACAGGUCGUCGGUUCGAUCCCGUCUGCCUCCACCAAAAUUAACUUGUUUAAAGAAAGUUUGUUAUUUGAAAUUGUGAAUAUAAUUAUGUAAAUUUAGAUUAAUAACCCUAAGUUAAUUUUUUUUAAUCUAAAUUUUUUGGAUUUAAAAUACUUAAGUAUCGUAUUUUAAAUCAUCUAAGUGUUGUUUGUUUACUUUAGACAAACAUCCGCAAUCUUUUUUUAUGUAUUAAUUUAAUGUGUAAAAAAAG